AUUGAACGCUGGCGGCAGGCCUAACACAUGCAAGUCGAGCGGAGCGGCGGGCGGGUGAGUAAUGUCUGGGAAACUGCCUGAUGGAGGGGGAUAACUACUGGAAACGGGCGCUAAUACCGCGUACUCUCAGAUGAGCCUAGGUCGGAUUAGCUAGUGGGUGGGGUAAAGGCCUACCAAGGCGACGAUCCGUAACUGGUCUGAGAGGAUGAUCAGCCACACUGGAACUGAGACACGGUCCAGACUCCUACGGGAGGCAGCAGUGGGGAAUAUUGGACAAUGGGCGAAAGCCUGAUGCAGCCAUGCCGCGUGUGUGAAGAAGGCCUUCGGAUUGUAAAGCACUUUAAGUUGGGAGGCGUUACCAACAGAAUAAGCACCGGCUAACUUCGUGCCAGCAGCCGCGGUAAUUC
rnacentral:rRNA from 1 species